GAUUUUGUCCAAAUGUUUAGAUGUUUUUUCACGUAAAAGAAUACGCCAGUGUCAUACUUUAGGAUGCACGAGCUCUUUAUUGGAGUUUUCAGCCGUUUGUUCUUGAUAUAAAGUGUUAAGAGUUUCACAGUUUUAGGUCUGAAGGUGCUAGUGCUUGUGCUAAUUUAGGUUUACCAGACUCUUUUUAAGAGACACGGUAGAUGGUGUUCCGAAACGGCAAACGAUAUUAUUGUGAAGGAUUCUUUAGAUAAUUUCUAUCGCAUUAUUUUCAGACUUUUAUUGCAUGAUAUAGAUCACCUUUUAAAUUUUCCCGUUCUUUGUGUUUUCGGCCCUCGGCUC
rnacentral:lncRNA from 1 species